AAAAAAAACUUGUUAGAUAUUUUCUUUUUUCUUUAGCAAAUCACAGUGUAUUCGAGGACUCUCAUAUUUGUCUGCAGAAAUCAGAUUAUUGAGUUUUGCGUUUAGCUUCUGGACAGCGGUGAUGUUGGGCGCUUUAAGGAGAAAAGUUGCGACCGGAGGUUCAUCAGCUUCGGUAUUAGGGAAGUCCUUGCAGGUGAUUCGGCCGAGCGUUUCAGCAUCUAGAGUGUAUUCAAAUGUUGGAAAAGAGAUUAUGUUUCUUCAGCCGAGGGGAAUUGUCCAUGUCCGCAACUUCUCUCAUCUUGUUCUACCAGGUAAAUCUU